AUGCUGGUGCCACCAAGGAUCUGGUGUCUCACGAGAUGGACUGGUGCUGAUGGGAGAAAGAUAUGCGACAUCAAAAUACUGCCAUUCAGAUGAUAUGCAUGCUUUCUCAGCAAGCUUUGGCCUUAAAGGAGAGGCUCUGAGCUCUAUUUCUGAUGUUUCUUUGUUGGAAAUUGUUACUAAAACUCACGGGAGGCCAAAUGUGGAUAU